UAAAUUCAGGCUCCUCCUCAGGCUUGAAGAGAUUUCCGGGAGCGGUGACUCUCAUCUGCUCGAAGAUGAGCCCACUGUGGACCUUCCUCUUCCUGCUGUCAGCUCCCAGCGGGGUCCUGUCCCAGGUGCAGCUGCGGGAGUCGGGACCCAGCCUGGUGAAGCCCUCACAGACCCUCUCCCUCACCUGCGCUGUCUCUGGAUUCUCACUAAGCAGCUAUGCUCUACACUGGGUCCGCAGGCUCCAGGGAAGGCGCUGGAGUGGGUUGGUGCAAUAGGUUAUAGUGGAAGCACAUGCUAUAAUCCAGCCCUGAAAUCCCGGCUCAGCAUCACCAGGGACACCUCCAAGAGCCAAGUCUCCCUCUCACUGAGCAGCGUGACACCUGAGGACACGGCCGUGUAUUACUGUGCAAGAGACACAGUGAGUGGAAGUCUGUGUGAGCCCAGACAGAAACCUCCCUGCAUGGGCGCCCAGGACCACCAGGGGGCGCUCAGGGCCCACCACGUUCAGGACUGCGCCCAGGAGCAGGUGCCCCGGGGCGCCGGGAGGGAACUCGUGUUGGAAUCUGGUUUUCUCGUCCGGCCCAGCGAUUCCCUGGAAACCUCUCUAGUGUCCUCGCUGUUCCAUUAUUGUGGUUUAUACUGCUUUCAUUAA